UACAGAGGUCUCAAGCGUUGUUCGGAUUCAUUGGGCGUAAAGGGUGCGUAGGCGGCGCGGUAAGUCGGGUGUGAAAUCUCCGGGCUUAACUCGGAACGGUCAACUGAUACUGCGCGGCUAGAGUGCAGAAGGGGCAACUGGAAUUCUCGGUGUAGCGGUGAAAUGCGUAGAUAUCGAGAGGAACACCUGCGGCGAAGGCGGGUUGCUGGGCUGACACUGACGCUGAUGCGCGAAAGCCAGGGGAGCGAACGGG
rnacentral:rRNA from 1 species